rnacentral:rRNA from 1 species
GCAAGUCGAACGAAGUAGCAAUACUUAGUGGCAGACGGGUGAGUAACAUGUAGGUAUCUACCCUUUGGCCUGGAAUAACACGAGGAAACUUGUGCUAAUACCGGAUAAGUCUUUACGGAGAAAGCUUUAUGCACCAUUGGAUGAGCCUGCACUUGAUUAGUUUGUUGGUGGGGUAAUGGCCUACCAAGACUGUGAUCAAUAGCUGAUUUGAGAGGAUGAUCAGCCACAUUGGGACUGAGACACGGCCCAAACUCCUACGGGAGGCAGCAGUGGGGAAUCUUGCACAAUGGAGGAAACUCUGAUGCAGCGAUGCCGCGUGAGUGAAGAAGGCCUUUGGGUUGUAAAGCUCUUUCGUCGGGGAAGAAAAUGACUGUACCCGAAUAAGAAGGUCCGGCUAACUUCGUGCCAGCAGCCGCGGUAAUACGAAGGGACCUAGCGUAGUUCGGAAUUACUGGGCUUAAAGAGUUCGUAGGUGGUUGAAAAAGUUAGUGGUGAAAUCCCAGAGCUUAACUCUGGAACUGCCAUUAAAACUUUUCAGCUAGAGUAUGAUAGAGGAAAGCAGAAUUUCUAGUGUAGAGGUGAAAUUCGUAGAUAUUAGAAAGAAUACCAAUUGCGAAGGCAGCUUUCUGGAUCAUUACUGACACUGAGGAACGAAAGCAUGGGUAGCGAAGAGGAUUAGAUACCCUCGUAGUCCAUGCCGUAAACGAUGUGUGUUAGACGUUGGAAAUUUAUUUUCAGUGUCGCAGCGAAAGCGAUAAACACACCGCCUGGGGAGUACGACCGCAAGGUUAAAACUCAAAUGAAUUGACGGGGACCCGCACAAGUAGUGGAGCAUGUGGUUUAAUUCGAAGAUACGCGCAGAACCUUACCAACACUUGACAUGUUCGUCGCGACUCUAAGAGAUUAGAGUUUUCGGUUCGGCCGGACGAAACACAGGUGCUGCAUGGCUGUCGUCAGCUCGUGUCGUGAGAUGUUGGG